AGCAGCCGCGGUAAUUCCAGCUCCAAUAGCGUAUAUUAAAGUUGUUGCAGUUAAAAAGCUCGUAGUUGAAUUUCGGGAUUGACACAUCGGUCGUGCCUUAAGGGGUAUGAACUGGUGUAGUCAAUUUCUCACCUUCUGGAGAACCGCGAUGCCCUUAAUUGGGUGUCGCGGGGAACCAGGACCUUUACUUUGAAAAAAUUAGAGUGUUUAAAGCAGGCAUUUUGCUUGAAUACAUUAGCAUGGAAUAAUAAAAUAGGACGGCAUGAUUCUAUUUUGUUGGUUUCUAGGAUCACCGUAAUGAUUAAUAGGGAUAGUUGGGGGCAUUAGUAUUCAAUUGUCAGAGGUGAAAUUCUUGGAUUUAUUGAAGACUAACUACUGCGAAAGCAUUUGCCAAGGAUGUUUUCAUUAAUCAAGAACGAAAGUUAGGGGAUCGAAGACGAUCAGAUACCGUCGUAGUCUUAACCAUAAACUAUGCCGACUAGGAAUCAGACGAUGUUAAUUUUUAAUGUACUCGUUUGGC
rnacentral:sRNA from 1 species